CUCUGAAGGUCCCUAUGACAACAGCACAGGGGCGCUGGUGUUUCCCUGCUCAUUUUCAGAGUCCUGUGCAAAUGCGACUGCCUUCUACUGGAUGGACCUUGAAGUAAAUGUAACAGGAGUCCAGAAUGAGUCAGACAUAACCGUUGAGCUCACUCAACUCUUCAGCAUCUAUGAUUGCGUAGCAUCCAACAGUACGAGCAUCACAGUGACGCCGCUUGCCACCCCAGCCAACAUAACUGUCACCACGAACAACACAACUGUCUUGCUACUUAGCUCAAGCCAGAGCCAGAACACCACCUCUGGCAGUGGUACGAGCAUAUGCAACAGUGUGAAUGAGACCACCCGCCAACUCUUCCAGGCUAUCAAGGUCAUGUGUGACACUAAGGAGAACAUAAGCCUUACACGGUGCUCGGUGCUUCUCCAGCUCAGCAACGCCGUCAGCACCUGUCGGCUUGUCCAGGUGCUGAAAACCACUGCGGGAAACAUCCAGACCAACCUCCUGGGGAGCGUGCAGAGUGUGGCCCAGGGCCACUGUCCUAAUUCGAUGACAUCACCUCCUGCUGGAGACAUUGUUAUGUGUGACACCCCGACUCUGGUGUCCAGUCCAUGUCAAUACAGUGGACUGGUGAAUGUAACAUGUAAUAGUUAUGCUGAGACUGUGUACGUUCCUCUGAUGACUAACACGCCUGGGAAUGUGACCUGCCCGUCCCCCAGCUUCACAGAAGAGCAGACCUGCAGCUUCUCAGCUUACUGCAAUUCAGCAGCUGGUUUCUACACCUUUGAUAUCCUCAUCAAUCAACAGUGGAACCAGAAAGACCUUCAGAACAUGAUUGCUUCAAAGCUGAACUCUUCAGUACCAUCAUGCAACAUCUCCACGGUGACCCCAGGGUAAGUUUACCAGCAUCUUCACCUUCCAUCUCGUAGCCCUUCCUGCCAUCUUUAUAAUCAAGAAGGUACCGGAGAUAUGACUGUUGAUUUGGAAUCUUCUUUUCCAGCUCAAACUGUUCUACAAACAACUCGCUGGCAGGACUGGUUCAGGUAAGCAUACUACUUAUUACAUGCGACUAUAUGGAUAUUGAGAUGAAUGAUCAGGGUGGGAAGUUAUUGGUGCAUCAAGCAGAAAUGU
rnacentral:lncRNA from 1 species